rnacentral:rRNA from 1 species
GACGUAGGGCGCGAGCGUUGUCCGGAAUUAUUGGGCGUAAAGAGCUCGUAGGCGGCUUGUUGCGUCGGCUGUGAAAUUUCGGGGCUCAACCCCGAACUUGCAGUGGGUACGGGCAGACUAGAGUUCGGCAGGGGAGACUGGAAUUCCUGGUGUAGCGGUGAAAUGCGCAGAUAUCAGGAGGAACACCGAUGGCGAAGGCAGGUCUCUGGGCUGUAACUGACGCUGAGGAGCGAAAGCAUGGGGAGCGAACAGG